rnacentral:misc_RNA from 1 species
GAUGAAGAACGCAGCGAAAUGCGAUACGUAAUGUGAAUUGCAGAAUUCAGUGAAUCAUCGAAUCUUUGAACGCACAUUGCGCCCGCCAGUAUUCUGGCGGGCAUGCCUGUCCGAGCGUCAUUUCAACCCUCGAACCCCUCCGGGGGGUCGGCGUUGGGGACCUCGGGAGCCCCUAAGACGGGAUCCCGGCCCCGAAAUACAGUGGCGGUCUCGCCGCAGCCUCUCCUGCGCAGUAGUUUGCACAACUCGCACCGGGAGCGCGGCGCGUCCACGUCCGUAAAACACCCAACUUCUGAAAUGUUGACCUCGGAUCAGGUAGGAAUACCCGCUGAACUUAAGCAUAUCAAUAAGCGGAGGA